rnacentral:rRNA from 1 species
AGGACGAACGCUGGCGGCGCGCUUAACACAUGCAAGUCGAGCGAGAACCGGUCCUUCGGGACUGGGGACAGCGGCGAACGGGUGAGUAACACGUGGGUAAUCAACCCCUGGCACCGGGAUAGCCCGAGGAAACUCGGAUUAAUACCGGAUGGCCCAACAGCUCUUCGGGGCGGUUGGAAAGGUAGCUUCGGCCUCCGGCCAAGGACGAGCCCGCGGCGGAUUAGCUUGUUGGUGGGGUAAUGGCCUACCAAGGCGACGAUCCGUAGCUGGUCUGAGAGGACGAUCAGCCACACUGGAACUGAGACACGGUCCAGACUCCUACGGGAGGCAGCAGUGGGGAAUCUUGGACAAUGGGCGCAAGCCUGAUCCAGCCAUGCCGCGUGAGUGAAGAAGGCCUUCGGGUUGUAAAGCUCUUUUGUCAGGGACGAUAAUGACGGUACCUGAAGAAUAAGCCCGGCAAACUUCGUGCCAGCAGCCGC